rnacentral:misc_RNA from 1 species
CGAACUGCGAUAAGUAAUGUGAAUUGCAGAAUUCAGUGAAUCAUCGAGUCUUUGAACGCACAUUGCGCCCCCUGGCAUUCCGGGGGGCAUGCCUGUCCGAGCGUCAUUGCUGCCCUUCAAGCCCGGCUUGUGUGUUGGGUCGUCGUCCCCCCCGGGGGACGGGCCCGAAAGGCAGCGGCGGCACCGUGUCCGGUCCUCGAGCGUAUGGGGCUUUGUCACCCGCUCGAUUAGGGCCGGCCGGGCGCCAGCCGGCGUCUCCAACCUUAUUUUUCUCAGGUUGACCUCGGAUCAGGUAGGGAUACCCGCUGAACUUAAGC